UGGGUCGAGCAUGGCAACCCGAAUCUGAAUUUGAAAGACGCCUUAAAUUUGUGAGAUUUCAGAGUGUUGAGUGGCUGGUGGAAUUGUUUGCAUAGUUACGAUCGAAAUUUCUGAGUCAGGGCCACCGAGUUGCCGAGUCGUCAUGGCUGAUUAUCACACAUCGAGUCACAGAGCUAAGUGGAUCUCCUCUCCUCAAGAACUGGUAAAUAAUAUGAAAAAGGAAAGAGAAUUUAUCAUUGUUUCUUAAAUGUUGAGAAACACAAGGCUGCUAAUCAAAGAUCAAUACAAACACUGGAGAAGUAUGGAACAACUCAGAUGGGAGUAGAUGCCGAAGGUUCAAUAUCGUACCCUGAACCUACUGCAAGGGAAAAUGCUGACAAGCGUCCAAAACCCCUUAACAUUGAAUAAGAACAAUUCAUGCGGGUGUUUUAUGAGAACAAACUUCGAGAAGUUCGUACUGCUUUCUACUUUCCUAAUAAAAUUC